CUUCUUCCUACAUCUCUCACCUCUCUUGGAAUCUGGACAAUGGGGUUCCUAGCCUCCUUGGCUCUCCAGAAUUUCACCUUUCUGAAACAGCUAGAUACCAUCAUGCGCGAAAUGGAGCCUAAAUUUUUUAAUAAUGUGGAGGAGAUCUGAUUAAUGGAUUGCAAACUCUCACGUGUCUUGAAGAGCUGCAAAUAAGGAGAUGCCCUAACCUAGAGUUAUUUGCAGAUUCGGGUUUGCUGCUGAUGCUUAGACAGCUUCAGGUGAGUAACUGUAAGGGUCUAAAAUGGUUGCCUCGCAACUACAACUCAUGUGCCUUGAAUCCUUGGACAUUAGUUACUGUCCAUCUCUCGUAUGCUUUCCAAAGGGUGAGCUACCCACCACACUCAAGGAAUUAUAUAUCGAAUGUUGUGAAAAUCUAGAGUCUCUACCAGAGGGAAUGAUGCACCACAGUAAUUGUUCGUCUCUCAAGUCCUUUCGAACAGGGGAGUUAUCCUCCACCCUUAAGCAACUUGAGUGCCUUCACAGCCUCACACACCUUAUAAUUGAGAGAUGUAAGAAUCUGAAAUCCCUUCCACAUCAAAUGAGAAACCUCAAAUCUCUUCAAGUGCUGGCCAUAAGGGAUUGUCCGGGAGUUGAGUGCUUUCCAAAAGGGGGUUUGGCCCCCAACCUGACAUCACUUUAUAUUUGUGAUUGUAAGAAUAUGAAAACUCCCAUAUCUGAGUGGAGCCUCCACACUCUCACAUCUCUUUAUCAAUUGACUAUUAAGAAUAUGUUUCCAGAUAUGCUUUCCUUUUCGGAUGAAGAGUGUCCUCUUCCCAUAUCUCUCACCUCCCUUACAAUCAAUGGAAUGGAAUCCCUAGCCUCCCUAGCUUUCCAAAACCUCAUCUCUCUCACCUCCCUUACAAUCCAUGGAAUGGAAUCCCUAGCCUCCUUGGCCCUCCAAAACCUCAUUUCUCUUCAAUCCCUAUGUAUCUCAAAUUGCCCUAACCUCCGAUCCUUAGGGCUGAUGCCUGCAACACUUGGAAGACUGGAAGUCAUUGAUUGUCCGACUAUAAAAGAAAGGUGCUUAAAGAAUAAAGGAGGCCCAACAUUGCCCACAUCCCCCGCAUUUGGAUACAGGGAUAAUACAUAGACUGAGGCAGAAAAAUUGUAGGUGGAGACAUUACGUUUCAUCCAUCCUUACAUUCAGUCAGUUUCAUCUUAAAGAAGAUUGGAGUAGGCAGGGAUGAAAACCUUCUGGUUGACUUUGGAUUUGAACUACUGUAUCUCAAGGAAGGUGUCCAUACAUAGGUUGAUUUCCUGAUUCUAGUCCUCAGAAGGCUGCCAGCAAUGCUAAGGCUUAUCAUAAGUUCUAAAAGACAGGCGCUUAAAGGAGAGAGGAACUCUGGCCCCACAUUGCACAAGUCCCCUGCAUUGAUGUAGAUUUCGAAUUUUGUUGAUUAACUAUCACAACUUGAGCUUGAACUUCAUUUCUGUAUGCUGAAACAUGGGAUCAAAGACCAUUCAACCCUGUCCCAUCCUGAGUUUCAAUUAGAUCCGUGAGACUGGCGUGGUUUCUCAAAGUAACAGAAGUUCAUUGUUCAGGUAUACUACAUUGAUAAGGUCACGUACAGUUAACUAAUUUGAAGGUCAAUUUAUAUUCAGGUUAUUAAUAAAUUUCUCUUGGUUUCAGUUUGAUCUAAAGAAGAUUGGGGUAGGCAGGAACAAAAAUCUUCUGGUUAACUUUGGAUUUGAAGUACAGUAUCUCAAUAAAGGUGUGAGAAUCUGAAAAUCCCAUAUCUGAGUGGGGCCUCCACACCCUCACCUCUCUUCCCAAGUUGAUUAUUGAGGAUAUCUUUCCAGUUGUCAAGGUUGAUCCUUGCAUGUUCAGGUCCUGUAAUUUCUGGAAGGGGGGUUUGACCCCAUGGUAGCUUCAGUUUGGGUUCAAUUCUAAGAAGUUUGAUACACGUGUCGGAGUAGCACUGGUCCACUAGGCCUUUAGAGAUGAUGAAAUCAUGCUGCUUGUCCUCUAACUUGAAGAAGGGUUGCAUGCAACACCCAAUGCUUGAAAUCCAGCUCAAUUUUCUUUUUCUAAGACAAAGUUGCUUAAAGGAGAAAGGAGGAAGUUUGGCUCAAGGUUGCCUACAUCUCUGACAUUCAGCAACAUGACUUUAUUGGAAAAUAUGAAUUUAUAUUGAAUUGUGUUUUUCCCACUCUGGAAAGUUGAGAGAGAGAUCACUCCUUUUUCCUUCAGCCAGGAGGGGGAAAAAACAAUUCAGAUGCAAAUUUAAUUCCUAACAUAAGUAUGGUGUUGAUAGGUGGUGGAAGCAUGAUAGACACAUUUAAAAUGGAUGGGCUUGAGAAUGUGCCAUACAAUGAUUUCUCUGCUAGUUGAUGGCAUAAAAAUGAGAGGAAUUUUGAGACUUAUGGCACUCUAAGAAGAACUGAACUCAAUGGAUGUCUGUGUGUGCUUUUUCAGUUUUAGUGGCUCAAGCAAAAUCAGCUAUCUUUGAUUUUGGAACUUGACAUAUAUAAUGAAGAAAGUAGAUGCUCAUGAAAUUCAAAAUUUCCUGAUCACAAAUGCAGGCUAUUCAUAUGGCGGCAUCCUGUACUUUUUGGAAGUGGAGUUUGGCCCUAACCUAGCUUUAGUUUGGGUUCAAGAUUGUGAGAAGCUCGAGACAUUGCGUCUAAGUGGGACUAGUCCUUCAAGCCUUUACAGAUGAAAAUUUCAUGUUUCUUAUUCCUCUAACUUCGAGCAAGCUUUUUACUAAAGUUUCUUCAAGUGCUAUUGAUCUCAAGUUAUCCUAAGCUCAGGUCCUUUUUACUAAACGAAGGGCUAUGUGCAACACCUAGUACUUGAAAUCUCGAAUUUUCCUGUUCCAAGACAAAGCUUCAUGGUUGCAGAAGUCAAAGCUACACCCAAUGCUUGAAAUCUAAGACAAAGGUGCUUAAAGGAAAAGCAGGAAGUUUAAUUGGCCUAUUCUUAUUGUGGGGAUCAAUUUCUGCAAGAAUGUGAGUCAUGCCCCUCCCCUCCAAGCAGCUCACUUGGGCAUAUCAUAUUCUUGAGUUCACAUGUUAAGAAAGGUAGGGAAAAGUAUCGCCCCCUACCUAAAAUCAUCUCAAAACUAUAUAACUCUCACUCUUCUUCUGUGCUAACACUUACUUUUUGUUGUUUUGGUUUUGAAUUGUCUGUUAGUCAACAUGGUUGGUUCUCAAAGCCUGUUGGAUACUUAUAAGUUGACGGGAUUGGAGAAUAGGCCUUAUGAUAACUCCUUUGUAGUCUUCCAUAGAAGACAAAGAAUCUCAAGUCUGCA